GUGGGAUUGGGGUGGCCUUUGCCCAGCUCUGCUUGUGUGGCCUGGAAAACAUCCCAGAGUGGAGCUGGUGGGCUCAGGUGUGAGGGACACCCUGGAGAUGUCCUGGGUGGGUUCUCCAGGCCCACCAGCCCAGGGGACAGGCCCAGGGUGCGGUUCCUGCUGUUCCCCAGGUCUGGGUGUCCCCGGGGUGGGGAAUGUGCCAGCUGUGGUGCCAGCCUGGCUGUGCCACUGCUCCCCCGUCCUGUGACCCCCCAGAUCUGUGCCCAGCACGGAUCCAGGGCCUUCAUCCCCCCAAAUCUCCAGUGGCACAAAUGGGACACAACACUACAAACCUGUCAAAAAUUGGAGCUAAAUCCCCAAUUUUAUUUUCUUCUUUUCUGCUCUGUGCUUGAGAGUUUGAUUUUUUUUCCCUAAUUUUGUUUCCUUUGGAGCAUUUCACAAAAGAUCUCCUGCUCCCAGCCCAACACUGCUGCUGGGGAGAAGCUGCUGUCAGCUUGAAUCCAUCUCAUUUUCAGAUGGAGAUCACUGCCAGCUGCCCCAGAGCUGCUGGUGUGAGGCAGCCUGGCAGCCUCUGUGGAUGCUCAGAUCCCUGGCUCAGCCCCGGAGGUGUUUGCUCCCUGCUCUGGGCACAAGGAGCACUGCCAGGGCAGCCAGCACGGAGCCACUUCCACGAGGAACGGCAAAAACUCGGAAUUCUUCAUCAGCCUCGGAGUUAAUCGUUAUUAAUCACUCCCAGCGCUUUCCUGAGGGUUGGGAGCAGCCACGAGAGGGCAGGAGCUGCUGCUGCUGUUCGGGAGGAACGCGGUUGUCCCCAGGAAAUGAUGAAAGCAGCAGCAGGGCCAUUUCUGGGAGAAGCUUCUGAGGGAUAUCAAUGGCAUUGCGCUUGGGAAACUGCAAACAUCAGCCCCUGGGUGAUUCCCUGAGGGAAACACUCACAGGAAACUUGCCCAGCCCUUGAGGAAGGUAAGUGAAGCUCUCAGAUGUGCUCAAGCCACCGAGGAGCACCAAACCACCCCAAGAUCCAGCUAAACCCAGAGAAAAUAAGGCAAAAAUCCUAAUAAUGCAGGUAGGAGUGUGGGAUCUGCUUAGAGAGCAGCUUAAACACCUCAAGGUUCUUCAAUCCUGCCACAGAGUUUAGGAUUUUUGCUUUUCAUUGUUUUUAACCUCCCCUCAGCUGUCAGGGGGAAGCUGGCUCAGGUCUGGUUGGUCCCACUGGGGUGAAACAGCCACGAGCUCCUUUGGAACAGGAGGAAUUCAGGGCUCUGGAGCAGCAGGGUGAGGAGCUGGCUGUGAGUGCAGCCCAGGUUUGGGCUGUGCCAGGCUCCUGUGCAGCUUUGCUGCAGCUGGAAUGUGGGCAGGAACUGUGCUCCAGGGGAAACAGCUCGUAGGCAGCAGCAGGAGGUUCAGUGUUUGCCUCCCAAGCCUUUCAAACUCUGGUAUUUAUCCCGCUUCCCAAACUGCUGAAAAGGAAACAAAAUUCCUCAGGUCUCCUCUGAGCCAACAGGAAAUGCUUCUGGAUUUGGGUUCCAACGUGACUCAGUUCAGAGAUUACAAAUGACCAAAACAACUCCACUGAAGUGUGGAGUCAACAAAAACAAGUCAACAUUUCAAGGAGAAUGAAAAAUUAUCCCUAAAAAUGUUUGGAAAAGUAUUUUUAUGUCCUAUAAAAGGUGCUGCUGCUCCUAGCAAUGUUCUAGUGGCUACCUUAUUGUCUCAGAAAUUAAAUUUAUUCCAUCCCACUGUGGAUCAGAACAAUCUCUGCCCGGGUGUUUUGUUGAGCUGUGGCCUGGAGGAUUUGUGGUUCAUCCCUGGGAGUUUUUCCUGGGAUUUCUACACUUGGAGGUCUUGGUAGUUCCCUUUUAGGGAGAUGGUGUUGUUCUCCUGGGAUUUGCAGUCAAACACAAGAGGUUACAUGCCCAAAAUUAAACAGGAAAAUGACUCAGCAAUUAGUCACUACAUUGAAACACUCCUUUUUCUCUUCUACCUUUAAGUUUAGCAGAGCUCUGAUGAUUUAGGGCUUAAAAACAUCCUGGCACAAACAAAGAAACUCCUUUAUCAGCAGAAAAACAAAUGAAUCCAUUGAUACAACAGAGUUUAUUUAUUCAGCCUAAAUAAGCUUAGAGGGGGAUGCAUUUCACAGGAUCAUUUUUGCAAGGUGCAAUAAUUUCAAUUCCUCCUUUGCAAAAAAAAAAAAUCACUAAAGAGAAACUGGGUUUGCAAAGUUUUAACUGCAGGGAAACUGCUACAGCUGGAAACUUUCUGUGUCAUUAAUUCUACAAAAAGGUGUACAAAAGGCUGCUAUAAAAAUAUUUUGUUACAGGCCUUCCUCUGAGACAGCCUGACCCCUAAAAACACUGAAUAAAAUACAAUAAUUAUCAAUAAAACA
ensembl:lncRNA